AGUAAAAUGCCUGAAUUUGAAAGGAAUAUCUUGAUAGGAUAAAUAAUGUAAUUUCUUAUUACUUUUACUA
rnacentral:tRNA from 2 species